UAAAUCAAUUUAAUUUGAUAAUUAAUAAAUUUAUAUAAUUUUAUUUGUUAAAAAAGUUAUUUAAUAAAAAUAUUUUUUUUUUUUUAUUAAUUUAGAUAAAAUUAUAAUUUAUUAUAGUUAAUUAAGUAUAGAGAUAGAAAAUUUAAAUAAAUUUUGAAAAUUAAAAUUAUUAAAAGAAAAUUUAAUUUAUUGUACCUUGUGUAUCAGGGUUUAUUAAAUAAUGUUUAUAUAAAUUAAUUUUCUCGAAUUUAAAAGAGCUAAGAAAUUAUAAAUUUUAUUGUUGAAUAAAUAUUUAAAAUAGUUUUUUAGAAGUGAAACGUUAGUCGUUUUUAAAUUUAUCUAGUUUUUUAAGAAAUGAAUUUAAUUCAGUUAUUUAUUAUUAUAGGGAUAAUUUUUUAUUUAAUUAAAAUAAAUAAUUAAUAUUUUAAGGGAUAAGCUUUAAAAUAAAAUUUUAAAAAUAGUAUUUUAUUUUAUUAAAAUUUAUAGGAAUGGAAGUUUUUAUUAUUUAUUGUGUGUUAUAACAAAUUUUAAUUUAAAUAUAAUUUUUAUAUUAUUUUAAAUUUUUUAUUAAAAUAAUUAGUUUAAUUAAAAAAUUAAUGAAAUAAUGAUAAAAUUAGUAUAAUUUAAUGUUAUAAAAAUUAUGAAUUUUAGGUUAAAUUAAGGAAUUCGGCAAAUUAAAUUUUCCGCCUGUUUAUUAAAAACAUGUCUUUUUGAUUAUAAUAUAAAGUCUGACCUGCCCAAUGAUAUGUAAAUAUUAAAUGGCCGCGAUAAUUUGAUCGUGCAAAGGUAGCAUAAUAAUUAGUUUCUUAAUUGGGAACUGGAAUGAAAGGUCGAACGAGAAAAUGACUGUCUCAGUUUAAUUUAAAUUAGAAUUUUAUUUUUAAGUUAAAAAGCUUAAAUAAUUUUAAAAGACGAGAAGACCCUAUAGAGUUUUAUAUAUAUUUAUUUAUUUUUUAGUUUAAGAAUUUAAUUUUAGAAUUGAUAAUAAAAUAUUUAAUUGGGGUGAUUGAAAAAUUAAAUAAACUUUUUUUAUAGUUUAACAUUAAUUUAUGAUUAGUUGAUCCAUAUAUAAUGAUUAAAAGAUUAAAUUACCUUAGGGAUAACAGCGUAAUUUUUUUUGAGAGUUCAUAUCGAAAAAAUAGAUUGCGACCUCGAUGUUGGAUUAAAAUUAAUUUAUGGUGUAGAAGCUAUAUCAAUUAGGUCUGUUCGACCUUUAAAAUUUUACAUGAUCUGAGUUUAAACCGGUGUGAGCCAGGUUGGUUUCUAUCUUUAAUAAAAAAAAAUAUUUUAGUACGAAAGGAUCAAAUAUUUAUAAAAUUUAUUUUUAUUAGAAUAUUAUUAAGUUUUUAUUACUUUGGCAGAAUAGUGUUUU
rnacentral:rRNA from 1 species